CCUACGGGAGGCAGCAGUGAGGAAUAUUGGUCAAUGGCCGAGAGGCUGAACCAGCCAAGUCGCGUGAGGGAAGACGGCCCUACGGGUUGUAAACUUCUUUUAUCUGGGAAUAAAAUGUGCCACGGGUGGGAUUUUGUGGGUACCAUAAGAAUAAGGAUCGGCUAACUCCGUGCCAGCAGCCGCGGUAAUACGGAGGAUCCGAGCGUUAUCCGGAUUUAUUGGGUUUAAAGGGGGCGUAGGCGGAUUGUUAAGUCAGUGGUGAAAGUUUGGGGCUCAACCGUCAAAUUGCAGUUGAAACUGGCAGUCGUGAGUACAGUAGAGGUGGGCGGAAUUCGUGGUGUAGCGGUGAAAUGCUUAGAUAUCACGAAGAACUCCGAUUGCGAAGGCAGUUCACUGGACUGAAACUGACACUGAGGCUCGAAAGUGUGGGUAUCAAACAGGAUUAGAUACCCUUGUAGUC
rnacentral:rRNA from 1 species